GACGAACGCUGGCGGCGUGCCUAAUACAUGCAAGUCGAACGCAGUGGGGACGGGUGAGUAACACGUGGGUAACCUCCCAUCAGAGGGGAAAACACUUGGAAACAGGUGCUAAACCGCUACUGAUGGAUGAACCCGCGGUGCUUUAGCUAGUUGGUGAGGUAACGGCUCACCCAGGCCACGAUGCAUAGCCGACCUUAGAGGUGGAUCGUCCCAACGGGGACUGGGACAACGCCUAGAAGCCCACGGGAGGCCGAAUUAGGGAAUCUUCGGCAAUGGACGAAAGUCUGACCGAGCAACGCCGCGUGAGUGAAGAAGGUUUUCGGAUCGUAAAACUCUGGUUUUAGAGAAUCCGUAUCUAUCCAGAACGCCACGGCUAACUACUUGCCAGCCGCCGCGUUAAUUC
rnacentral:rRNA from 1 species